ACGCUGCCGCACCGCCCGAGGAUGGGGCUACGGCCCAUUAGGUAGUUGGCGGGGUAACGGCCCGCCAAGCCGAUAAUGGGUAGGGGCCGUGAGAGCGGGAGCCCCCAGAUGGGCACUGAGACAAGGGCCCAGGCCCUACGGGGCGCACCAGGCGCGAAACCUCCGCAAUGCGGGAAACCGUGACGGGGCCACCCCGAGUGCCCCCUUACGGGGGCUUUUCCCCGCUGUAGGAAGGCGGGGGAAUAAGCGGGGGGCAAGUCUGGUGUCAGCCGCCGCGGUAAUACCAGCCCCGCGAGUGGUCGGGACGAUUAUUGGGCCUAAAGCGCCCGUAGCCGGCUCGACAAGUCUCCUCCUAAAUCCUCGGGCUCAACCCGAGGAUUGGAGGAGAUACUGUCGAGCUAGGGGGUGGGAGAGGCCGAGGGUACUCCCGGGGUAGGGGCGAAAUCCUAUAAUCCCGGGAGGACCACCAGUGGCGAAGGCGCUCGGCUGGAACACGCCCGACGGUGAGGGGCGAAAGCCGGGGGAGCGAACCGGAUUAGAUACCCGGGUAGUCCCGGCUG
rnacentral:rRNA from 1 species